CGGACGGGUGAGUAACGCGUGGAAAACCUGCCGUAUACUGGGGGAUAACGACUUAGAAAUAGGUGCUAAUACCGCAUAAGCGCACAGCUUCGCAUGAAGCAGUGUGAAAACUCCGGUGGUAUACGAUGGUUCCGCGUCUGAUUAGCUAGUUGGUGAGGUAAAAGCCCACCAAGGCGACGAUCAGUAGCCGGCCUGAGAGGGUGAACGGCCACAUUGGGACUGAGACACGGCCCAGACUCCUACGGGAGGCAGCAG
rnacentral:rRNA from 1 species